GGUUCUGCUAGAUUUAAUUUUUAAUAUUGGGCUACUACAUUUUAAACUUGAAAUUCUAUCUACACUAGUUCUGAGCCUAGUAAGACAUUCUGGAUGCUUCCCCUCAUCCCCUGAAAAAAAUUUUAAUAUGUUAUAAAAGAAGCCACAAAAAUUAAAUGGCAGCACUUUUUUUCAUCCCUAGGGCUGUAUGCAGGAAACAUGAACUUAUGCAGUAUGACUUGGAGAUGGCUGCUCAGGACUUAGCAUCCAAAAAGCAGCAAUGUGAGGAACUGGCAACUGGGACCGUGAGAACAUCUUC